UUGAAUUAAAAUAUAUCGUACAUUUAUUUGUUUAUGUGCCAGAACACGCAGUGUGAGCUCUGUGACCUGAGGCUAAGAAUCUCAAGGCUCCAUCCUCACAGACUAGAUCUGAAUUUCAGCUUUGCCACUGUGACAGGGUUAAACAAUGUGGUACCAGCUCUUGGCCUGGUAAACUGUACGACCUACUAAUCCCUGGAGAAAGAAUUUUCCCCAAGGGUCUGUGAGCUGGGCUGCCCCCCUGGACAGCAGAGUGACACUUCACUGUGAAACUGAGGGCAUCACGCCAGCUCUGUCCCUCCUGUGAUACACAUGGCGUGGUGCAGGUAUCAUUUGUAUUGAUCUGACACUUAAAACAUGACUGCUUGUCGGUUUAUUUUUCUGGUUACUAAUGAUUGUGCAUCUCUUUGUGAGCUUAUUUCUUAUUGCAUGUUGUCUGUAAGCUGUUUUUUUUCCCUAACACUUCACCCAUUUUUCUAUUGGGGCUGCCAUCUUUUCCUUAUUGACUCAUAAAAGUUCCUUGUAUUUUUGAAAUAUUAAUCCCUUGCCAUAUUUUAGAUAUCUUUUCCCAUUCUAGAUAUCUUUUCCCAUUCUCUAUCUACAACUAUAUUCUUAUUGUUGAUGUAGUCAAAUUCACCACUUCCUGAUUUGGGGUUUGUGCCUUUGAAAUCUAAGAAAUUCUACAACAUCUCUAGAUCAUAAAUAUAUUUUUUAUAUUAUUAUUAACUUUAUAGUUUAUCUUCACAUUUAUGUAUGUAAUACUUCUAGUGUUGACUUAUGUAUGUGUAUUAGGUAAGGGUCUAAUUUUCUAGGCAAGAAUACUGGAGUGGGUUGCCAUUCCUUUCUCCAGAGAAUCUUCCCAACCCAGGGAUCAAAUUCUUUACCAUCUGAGCCAUCAGGAAAGCCCUGUCAGGUAAGGGCCCAGCUUUAUUUUUCUCUUUCCAAAACUAUUAAGUCAUCCUAUCUUCAGUGAUUUGUGAUGUCUUCUCGAUCAUACACUAACGUCCUCUACAUGUGGCCCUAGCUCUCACUCUCCAUUCUGUCCCAUUGGUCAAUGUGUCUUUAGUUGAGCAAAUACCAUUUUUAUUACUGUAUUUUGCUGCCUGGUAUAGUAAGCCCCUCUUGUUAAUACUCUCCUUUUUUGAGGCUGAGUUUCUAUGCAUGGACUUUUAUUUCUCUAUAUGAAUUUUGAAGUAAUCACCUUAUGUUCCAGAAAAAUUCAGCUGAGAUUUUCAGUGUUAAAUGUGUGAAUUAAUCUGGGGUUGAAUCAACAUCCUUAAUGUUAAGUCAUCCCAUCAGUGAGCUAGAAACUUCUCUCCAUGUUUGAAUCAUACUUCAAGGUGUUUGCUAGAGGUCUGACACCUUCUCCACUGGAAUUCUAUGUAUUACUGGUGAAAGUAAUUGCUAGGAAUUUUAUAGUUUUGCUGUAACUAUGAAUAGUUUAUUGUUUUGGUCAUGUUUUCUAUUUGGGUAUUUCUACUAUGGAAAAACCUGUUGGUUUUUGGAUCGAAUGUGAGCUAUCUUAUUAAAUUUCUUAAUUAAUUGUAAUAAUCUGUUGAUUUUGUGGCUUGGGGAGUUUAUGAUUAUACUAAUGAAAUUUUUUUUACAUUUCUUAAAAAAUUUAUUUAUUUUUUAAUUGAAAGAUAAUUGCUUUACAGAAUUUUGUUGCUUUCUAUCAAACCUCAACAUGAAUCAGCCAUAGGAAUACACAUGAUGACAGUUUUAUCUCUACUUUUCCAAUCUUUAUAUCUUUUCUUUCUUUCUAGUUACUAUGGCAUUGGUCAGGGCUCCCAGAACUAUGUUAGACAAUAGUGGUGACAGUGGGCAUUCUUUGCUCAUUCCUGAUCCUUCAAGUGAUGGGCUAAAAGUUUUUCCAUUAUAAAAUAUGUGAAUUUUAUGAAAUUAAUUUUAUUUUAAUUUUAUUUCAUCUUAAUUUUAUAAAAUUAAGAAAGUUCCAUUUGAAAUGUAAUUUUCUAAAGCAUUUUUUCUCUCUUUUAAAAAAUUAUUCUUACUGUUGAUUUAUAAUGUUUGUUAGUUUCUGCUAUACAGCAAAGUGUAUCAACAAGAUAUAUAUCCACUAUUUUUUACAUUCUUUCCCUGUAUAGAUCACUGCAGAGUAUUAAGAAGAGUUCCCUCUGCUAUACAGUAAGUCCUUAUUAAUGAUAUAUUUUAUAUAUAGUAUUAUGUGUUUGUGAAUCCCAGGCUCCCAAUUUAUUCCUCCUCACCCCCUGCUUUAUCCCCUGGACACUACAAGGUUUUUUCCCUACAUCUGUGAAAUCUAUCUUAAAGGAUUUUUUAAAAGAAACAUAACUUCAGCUUUAUCACACUCUUUUUUGAUCGAUUAAUAUAAUAUUAUUUUUCUCCUUUAGGCUAAUAAUGUGAUGAAUUACAUUAAUUGUAGUCAUAAUGCUGACCAAUUCUUGCAUUCCAACAGGAAAGCUCACUCAGUUAUGAAGGAUUUUUAAUGCUCAUAUUUGGUUUGGUAAUACUAUGCUCUGUUUGAAUUGUUUGCACCUUUAGAGGUGAAAUGGGACUGUUGUUUUCUUGUAUUGCCCAUCUCUUACUUUAGAAUCAAGUUACUCUACUUCUUUAAAAUGAGCUGUACAUCUCUACUCUUGAUUAGUUUUCUACACCAUCCUGUGUAACAUACUAUUAACUGUCCCCUGAGAUUUUACCAGACUGUCCUGGAAAACCACUGGGCUUAGUAGGGGAUACUGGGGAGAAGAGAGCUGUGAUAGCCACUUUUGCUUAUUUAAUACUUAACUAACUUCCUAAACACUGGGCUGGAAGAGGCACAAGCUGGAAUCAAGAUUGCCGGGAAAAAUAUCAAUAACCUCAGAUAUGCAGAUGACACAACCCUUAUGGCAGAAAGUGA